GGUUAAGUGAAUAAGCGUACACGGUAGAUGCCUAGGCAGUCAGAGGCGAUAAAGGACGUGCUAAUCUGCGAAAAGCGCCGGCGAGCUGAUAUGAAGCACUACUAACCGACGAUAUCCGAAUGGGGAAACCCGGUGCAAAUUUUGCAUCAUCGCCAGGCGAAUUCAUAACUUGGCGAGGCGAACCAGGGGAACUGAAACAUCUAAGUACCCUGAGGAAAAGAAAUCAACAGAGAUUCCCAUAGUAGCGGCGAGCGAACGGGGAACAGCCCAGAGCGAACAUCAGUUUUCGCGUCAGGAGAACGGUCUGGAAAGUCCGGCAAUAAGGGUGAUAGCCCCGUAUCCGAAGAUGCGUUUUCUGUGAGCUCGACGAGUAGGGCGGGACACGUGACAUCCUGUCUGAAAAUGGGGGGACCAUCCUCCAAGGCUAAAUACUCCUGACUGACCGAUAGCGAACCAGUACCGUGAGGGAAAGGUGAAAAGAACCCCGGCGAGGGGAGUGAAAUAGAUCCUGAAACCGUGUACGUACAAGCAGUGGGAGCACUCUUAAGGGGUGUGACUGCGUACCUUUUGUAUAAUGGGUCAGCGACUUAUAUUCUGUAGCAAGGUUAACCGAAUAGGGGAGCCGCAGGGAAACCGAGUCCUAACUGGGCGCAUAGUUUCAGGAUAUAGACCCGAAACCCAGUGAUCUAGCCAUGAGCAGGUUGGAGGUUGGGUAAUACUAACUGAAGGACCGAACCGACUAAUGUUGAAAAAUUAGCGGAUGACUUGUGGCUAGGGGUGAAAGGCCAAUCAAACUGGGAGAUAGCUGGUUCUCCCCGAAAGCUAUUUAGGUAGCGCCUCGUGAAUUCAUCUGCGGGGGUAGAGCACUGUUUCGGCCAGGGGUCCAUCCCGGAUUACCAAUCCGAUGCAAACUCCGAAUACCGUAGAAUGUUAUCACGGGAGACACACGGCGGGUGCUAACGUCCGUCGUGAAGAGGGAAACAACCCAGACCGCCAGCUAAGGUCCCAAAGUCAUGGUUAAGUGGGAAACGAUGUGGGAAGGCAUAGACAGCCAGGAUGUUUGCUUAGAAGCAGCCAUCAUUUAAAGAAAGCGUAAUAGCUCACUGGUCAAGUCGGCCUGCGCGGAAGAUAUAACGGGGCUAAACCAUGCACCGAAGCUGCGGCGACAGAUGUAACAAAUUUCGGCAGGUGUUAGGUCGAUUUUCUACAAGCUGUAGAAUCGUAGUUACAUCGGUCGGGUAGGGGAGCGUUCUGUACGCCUGCGAAGGUAAUCUGUAAGGGUUGCUGGAGGUAUCAGAAGUGCGAAUGCUGACAUAAGUAACGAUAAAGCGGGUGAAAUCCCCGCUCGCCGGAAGACCAAGGAUUCCUGUUCAACGUUAAUCGGAGCAGGGUAAGUCGACCCCUAAGAUGAGGCCGAAAGGCGUAGUCGAUGGAAAACAGGUUAAUAUUCCUGUACUUAAAGUGACUGCGAAGGGGGGACGGAGAAAGCUAGGUUCGCCGGGCGACGGUUGUCCCGGUUUAAGCGUAAAGGUGGAAAGAGCAGGAAAAUCCACUCUUUUAUAACACUGAGGCGCAAUGACGAGCAGCUAAGGUUGCGAAGGAAUUGAUGCUAGGCUUCCAAGAAAAGCCUCUAAGCUCCAGGUCACAUUAAAUCGUACCCCAAACCGACACAGGUGGUCAGGUAGAGAAUACUAAGGCGCUUGAGAGAACUCGGGUGAAGGAACUAGGCAAAAUGGUGCCGUAACUUCGGGAGAAGGCACGCUGGCUCGUAGGUAAAAAGCUACUCGCUCUGAGCCGAAGCCAGUCGAAGAUACCAGCUGGCUGCAACUGUUUAUUAAAAACACAGCACUGUGCAAACACGAAAGUGGACGUAUACGGUGUGACACCUGCCCGGUGCCGGAAGGUUAAUUGAUGGGGUCAUCCGUAAGGAAAAGCUCUGGAUAGAAGCCCCGGUAAACGGCGGCCGUAACUAUAACGGUCCUAAGGUAGCGAAAUUCCUUGUCGGGUAAGUUCCGACCUGCACGAAUGGUGUAAUGAUGGCCAGGCUGUCUCCACCCGAGACUCAGUGAAAUUGAAUUCGCCGUGAAGAUGCGGCGUACCCGCGGCAAGACGGAAAGACCCCGUGAACCUUUACUAUAGCUUGACACUGAACACUAAGUCCUAAUGUGUAGGAUAGGUGGGAGGCUUUGAAGUGCGGACGCUAGUUCGCAUGGAGCCAACCUUGAAAUACCACCCUUUAAUACUUGGUGCUCUCACUCAGAUCCGUAAUCCGGAUCGAAGACAGUGUCUGGUGGGUAGUUUGACUGGGGCGGUCUCCUCCUAAAGUGUAACGGAGGAGCACAAAGGUUAGCUAAUCACGGUCGGACAUCGUGAGGUUAGUGCAAAGGCAUAAGCUAGCUUAACUGCGAGAGUGACGGCUCGAGCAGGUGCGAAAGCAGGUCUUAGUGAUCCGGUGGUUCUGAAUGGAAAGGCCAUCGCUCAACGGAUAAAAGGUACUCCGGGGAUAACAGGCUAAUACCGCCCAAGAGCUCAUAUCGACGGCGGUGUUUGGCACCUCGAUGUCGGCUCAUCACAUCCUGGGGCUGAAGCAGGUCCCAAGGGUAUGGCUGUU
rnacentral:rRNA from 1 species